GGCCAGGUAGCUCAGUUGGUAGAGCAGCGGACUGAAAAUCCGCGUGUCGGCGGUUCGAAUCCGUCCCUGGCCACCU
rnacentral:tRNA from 1 species